rnacentral:misc_RNA from 1 species
CUGUGAAGACAAGCAUACAAUUGGAGCAUCCAAAUAGUCAUGGAAAUUUUCAGUGAUAGCUGCAGUCAAGCUAGCACCAAUGCCACCAGUCCUCAUGCAUUCCUCCACAAUCAGGACACGAUGCGUCUUCUUCACAGAAUUCCCAAUUGUGUAGAGAUCAAAUGGUUUUAGUGAUCUGAUGUCAAUCACUUCAGGAUCAUAUCCCUUGUUCACUAAAGUUUUGGCAGCCUGCAUCACAUGAUAUCUCAUCCGUGAGUAGGUUAAAAUAGUCACAUGCUCUCCAGGCCUAACCAUCUCAGCUUCCUCGAGAUUACAAAUAUAUUCUUCAUCAGGGAUUCUCUCUUUGAGGUUGUAAAGCAAAACAUGCUCAAAGAGUAUAACUGGAUUCUCACUUCGGAUUGCAGCUUUCAUCAAUCCCUUGGCAUUAUAAGCGGUUGAGCAUGCAACCAUUUGGAUUCCAGGAAUUGAUUGAAAAUAUGAUUCAAGGCGUUGCGAGUGCUCAGCACCAAGCUGCCGCCCAACUCCACCAGGUCCACGAAUAACUAUGGGUAUUUUAAACUGUCCACCUGAAGUGUAGUGAAGCAUGCCACAGUUGUUCGAGAUCUGAUUGAAAGCUAGAAGGAGAAAACCCAUGUUCAUACCCUCAACGACUGGCCUCAAGCCAGUCAUGGCAGCACCAAUACCCAUACCAGUGAAGGAAUUCUCAGCAAUAGGGGUGUCAAGAACUCUAAGAUCCCCAUAUUUUGUUGCCAGGCCUUUUGUCACCUUGUAUGAACCUCCAUAAUGACCCACAUCUUCACCCAUGACACAAACAGUGGGAUCUCUGUCCAUUUCUUCUUCCAAGCCUUCUCUUAGGGCCUCAAAGAGUAGAAGUUCAUGUCCAGGUUUAGAUGCCGUGGAAGCUGCAGAACCAUCAGCCUUUGUCGCAACAGCAUUGGUAAUCAACUGCUCGGCCCUGCGAGCUCUAGAAUUAGAACCUAGAUUGAGGUUCACGCUCCCAUCAGAUCUGACCAAGAGGAAGCUCGCUUUCCUCUCUGAAAAGGAUCUGGGAGAGGGGAGCUGUAAUUUCUUGGAAUCGAAGGAAUUAGAAGCCGUUAAAGCUCCUAAUCCCCGGAAUAUUGUAGUCAUUGGUGACUUCUGCUCCUUUUAUGUUAGAUAGAAACGAACCAGAGAUUGAUUUCUGGGGAGAAUAAGGAAAAGAAACGGAGAGAAAGGAAAAGAUGAGAAGAGAAAAAGGGACAGAGAUGGGAUUUAUAAAAUAGGAAGCAGAGAAAGCAGAUGAGAAUGGGCGGAGAAUUUGAGGAAUUGAAGAGCUAACUGGGAGCUACUUGGGCUUUUGCUUUGCUUUGCUUUGCUGUGCGUCUCAGCUUUUGG